UAAAACUGCAGUUAUUUUUGC
rnacentral:miRNA from 1 species